CUGCAGCUUGCUGCGGGUACUCGAGUGGCGAACGGGUGAGUAACACGUGGGUGAUCUGCCUUGCACUUCGGGAUAAGCUUGGGAAACUGGGUCUAAUACCGGAUAGGACAGCUGUUUAGUGUCAGUUGUGGAAAGUUUUUUCGGUGCAAGAUGAGCUCGCGGCCUAUCAGCUUGUUGGUGGGGUAAUGGCCUACCAAGGCGUCGACGGGUAGCCGGCCUGAGAGGGUGUACGGCCACAUUGGGACUGAGAUACGGCCCAGACUCCUACGGGAGGCAGCAGUGGGGAAUAUUGCACAAUGGGCGGAAGCCUGAUGCAGCGACGCCGCGUGGGGGAUGAAGGCCUUCGGGUUGUAAACUCCUUUCGACAGGGACGAAGCGUAAGUGACGGUACCUGUAUAAGAAGCACCGGCUAACUACGUGCCAGCAGCCGCGGUAAUACGUAGGGUGCGAGCGUUGUCCGGAAUUACUGGGCGUAAAGAGCUCGUAGGUGGUUUGUCGCGUCGUCUGUGAAAUUCCGGGGCUUAACUCCGGGCGUGCAGGCGAUACGGGCUGACUUGAGUGCUGUAGGGGAGACUGGAAUUCCUGGUGUAGCGGUGAAAUGCGCAGAUAUCAGGAGGAACACCGAUGGCGAAGGCAGGUCUCUGGGCAGUAACUGACGCUGAGGAGCGAAAGCAUGGGUAGCGAACAGGAUUAGAUACCCUGGUAGUCCAUGCCGUAAACGGUGGGCGCUAGGUGUAGGGGGCUUCCACGUCUUCUGUGCCGUAGCUAACGCAUUAAGCGCCCGCCUGGGGAGUACGCCGCAAGGCUA
rnacentral:rRNA from 1 species